GUGUCCAGCAGCCGCGGUAAUACCGGCAGCACGAGUGAUGACCGAUAUUAUUGGGCCUAAAGCGUCCGUAGCUGGCCAAGCAAGUCCAUUGGGAAAUCUACGCGCUCAACGCGUGGGCGUCCGGUGGAAACUGUUUGGCUUGGGGCCAGAAGACCUGAGGGGUACGUCCGGGGUAGGAGUGAAAUCCUAUAAUCCUGGACGGACCACCAAUGGGGAAACCACCUCAGGAGGAUGGACCCGACAGUGAGGGACGAAAGCUAGGGUCUCGAACCGGAUUAGAUACCCGAGUAGUCC
rnacentral:rRNA from 1 species